AGAGAGAGACAUGCGCGCAUAUCAAUAAGCGGAGGAAAAGAAACUAACUAGGAUUCCCUCAGUAACGGCGAGUGAAGCGGGAAGAGCUCAAAUUUGAAAUCUUCAAGGUUCUACCUUGACGAAUUGUAGUUUAAAGAAGUGUUUUCUGUUGGAGUUUUGGUAAAAGUUCUUUGGAAUAGGACAUCAUAGAGGGUGAGUAUCCCGUAUUUGACCAUUAUUUCCAGCUUUGUGAUACACUUUCAAAGAGUCGGAUUGUUUGGGAAUGCAGUCCAAAAUGGGUGGUAAAUUUCAUCUAAAGCUAAAUAUUGGCGAGAGACCGAUAGCGAACAAGUACCGUGAGGGAAAGAUGAAAAGAACUUUGAAAAGAGAGUUAAACAGUACGUGAAAUUGUCAAAAGGGAAGCGUUUGACACCAGUGUUGUUUUUCUGAAAAUCAAUUAAAGAACUGUUUAUGCUAAGCUGUUUAGACUUUAUCAGCUAUCUGUUUAGUUUUGAGCUUUUCUUUAAUGCACUUUUCAGUUAACAAGUCAACAUCAAUUUCUUUUGCUGUAAAAAAGCUUGAGGAAGGUGGCUUGAGAUUCGUCUUAAGUGUUUAUAGCCUCUUGCCUAUGCAGUCGGAGAGAUUGAGGUCUGCAGCGUAGAUCCUUCGGGGCUAAAUGCAUUUGUGCUAAGUUAUAACAUUUUAUAGACAACUUGUUGACUAUGAUUUGUCUUGUAGCUUACUCGCUUAUGUUAUUUUACCUACGCUUAGGAUGUUGAUGUGAUACUGCGAGCA
rnacentral:rRNA from 1 species